GAUUUCUGGUCUGGUGCGCCUGGCCCACCACGUUAGUGUGUGAGUGCCGGGUCGCGCCUGCCAUCCUUCUAGUAAACAUAGCUACCCUUCACUGGGCCGGUUAUGCGAACUAGAUCUUUUACUUUGAAAAAAUUAGAGUGUUUCAAGCAGGCAUGUUUUGCUAUGAAUACAUUAGCAUGGAAUAAUAAUCUAGGACUUUCGGUUCUAUUUUGUUGGUGUUCUGGAGCUGAAGUAAUGAUUGAUAGGGAUAGUUGGGGGUGCUAGUAUUCAAUGGCCAGAGGUGAAAUUCUCGGAUUCCUUGAAGACUAACUUAUGCGAAAGCAUU
rnacentral:rRNA from 1 species